AACGCGAAGAACCUUACCUACUCUUGACAUCCUCGGAACUUGGUAGAGAUACCGGGGUGCCUUCGGGAACCGAGAGACAGGUGCUGCAUGGCUGUCGUCAGCUCGUGUCGUGAGAUGUUGGGUUAAGUCCCGUAACGAGCGCAACCCUUAUCCUUAGUUGCUAGCAGGUAAUGCUGAGAACUCUAGGGAGACUGCCGGUGAUAAGCCGGAGGAAGGUGGGGACGACGUCAAGUCAUCAUGGCCCUUACGAGUAGGGCUACACACGUGCUACAAUGGGCAGUACAAAGGGAUGCGAAGCCGCGAGGUGAAGCGAAUCUCGAAAAGCUGCUCGUAGUCCGGAUUGGAGUCUGCAACUCGACUCCAUGAAGUUGGAAUCGCUAGUAAUCGUGGAUCAGAACGCCACGGUGAAUACGUUCCCGGGCCUUGUACACACCGAGUAUA
rnacentral:rRNA from 1 species